rnacentral:rRNA from 1 species
GACGAACGCUGGCGGCGUGCUUAACACAUGCAAGUCGAACGGAAAGGCCCUGCUUUUGUGGGGUGCUCGAGUGGCGAACGGGUGAGUAACACGUGAGUAACCUGCCCUUGACUUUGGGAUAACUUCAGGAAACUGGGGCUAAUACCGGAUAGGAGCUCCUGCUGCAUGGUGGGGGUUGGAAAGUUUCGGCGGUUGGGGAUGGACUCGCGGCUUAUCAGCUUGUUGGUGGGGUAGUGGCUUACCAAGGCUUUGACGGGUAGCCGGCCUGAGAGGGUGACCGGCCACAUUGGGUCUGAGAUACGGCCCAGACUCCUACGGGAGGCAGCAGUGGGGAAUAUUGCACAAUGGGCGGAAGCCUGAUGCAGCAACGCCGCGUGCGGGAUGACGGCCUUCGGGUUGUAAACCGCUUUCGCCUGUGACGAAGCGUGAGUGACGGUAAUGGGUAAAGAAGCACCGGCUAACUACGUG